UUCUCCACUCUACUCGGGGUGACGAGACAGCCGCUGACGUCAGCUCCGGCUGAUUGCGUCACGACCGCAGGCACACGGCCGCUCUGGCCAAAGCGCUUCUUCCCUCGCCUUCUGGAAAGGCCUUCGAAUUCGGGCUCCGUCCAGGCGGCGGGGCCGCGGCACGCCUGUAAGCCGGGGUUUCCGCCACCCCCCACUUCCGGGGGGGGGUGCGUGCGUCGGCACGAGGUCUCGCGUGAAGUGGUGCCGCGGGAGCGGGAUCGGGAGCGGGAUCGGGAGCGGGAGCGGGAUCGGGAGCGGGAGCGGGAGCGGGAGCGGGAGCGGGAGCGACGCACGCGGCCGCGCAGGCGUCGGCGGCCCCGAGACCGACACCCUCCAAUUCAAGCUUUUAGGUAUGAAAACAGUGUUCAAAUAAAGCUGCUAGAGGUACUUUCAAACACUGCCAAAAACAAAGAUGACAUGAUGAUAGUCUAACAGACUUACAGCCAGCAUCUGACACCAUUGGGAAACCAGCUCCGUGGAAGUUGUGAGGCACCCAGAGAGCACAAACUUCUACCUUUUACCUCAUGGAUCCAAUGUAACUGUUACGGAAG
rnacentral:lncRNA from 1 species